rnacentral:sRNA from 1 species
UUUUAGCCCAGAUGGAAAUGGAAACCCCGGACUUAUAUUUGUUAGUUUUUUUGGUAUAAAAGAGCGACUUUAGAAGCUCCUUUUAUGCCUUUAAAAAAACAACAAAUAUAAGGAGGAGUUGCAAUGUACAGCUGGAUUAGCU